CGUGGAGUUGAGAGACGCCCAGAACCUGCUGCUGACCGGAUGCUGUGCAUACUUUGAACUUGGUGUUGAGAACUUCCCAGGAGGUUUCACCUCGCCCCUGCUCUAGCCAUGAUGGACGAUGAGGAUGCCAUGAGCGAGAGAGGCCUCGGGGCCUCCAGAAUGAGGUACGAUGAUGAAGAAGGCGACUACCACUCCAUCUACAUCGGGGUGCCGGUGCCACGAGGCUACAGACGAAAAAGGCGUAGGAGGAGAUCCGUGUCCAGCCGGGACAAAAACGAAGACUCCGAAAGGCACUAUGAGCGGCAGGAUCGGUCCGACACGGAUGAAGGAGGGAGGAACGGCGAUGAGAAUGGAAACGACCACGCCAGCAGGACCAUGUCUCCGGCUGCUGAGCGUCUCCGGUACAUCCUGGGUGAAGAUGACGAUCCCCCCAACCCCACCUUGUUCACAGAGAUGGACACCCUCCAGCAUGACGGAGAAGAACUGGAGUGGAAGGAGUCAGCCAGGUGGAUAAAGUUUGAAGAGAAAGUGGAAGAAGGAGGGGAGCGAUGGAGCAAGCCUCACGUGUCCACUCUGUCCUUGCACAGCCUCUUUGAGCUGCGCACCUGUCUGCAAACGGGCACCGUGAUGCUUGACCUGGACGGCUACUCUUUGCCACAGAUCAUAGACGAUGUCAUUGAGAAGCAGAUCGAAGAUGGCCUGCUCAAGCCGGAGCUGCGGGAGAAGAUAAGCUAUGUCCUCCUGAGGAAGCACCGCCACCAGACCAAGAAGCCCAUCCACCGGUCCCUGGCCGACAUGGGCAAAUCUGUCUCGAACACAAAUCGCAGCCCGGUCAGGAGUCCGGCUGCCGGGGCCAGCUUUCACCGCUCCUCCGAAGACCUGCGCAUGAGGCAGAGUGCAAGUUACGGGCGAUUACGCCAUGCACAAAGCAGAAGCAUGAAUGACAUCACAGACACGCCAAGCACAGAUCAGAUGAAAAACAAAUUCAUUAAGAAGAUCCCCAAAGAUGCGGAAGCGUCUAACGUCCUGGUGGGAGAAGUGGACUUCCUGGACAAGCCAUUCGUGGCUUUCGUCCGGCUCCUGCAGUCAACCAUGCUGGGGGGAGUGACGGAAGUGCCUGUCCCAACAAGAUUCCUGUUUAUCCUUUUGGGUCCUGCAGGAAAAGCAAAGUCCUACAAUGAAAUCGGGAGAGCCAUCGCCACCCUCAUGGUAGACGACCUGUUCAGUGACGUUGCCUACAAAGCGAGAGACAGAGACGACCUGAUUGCAGGAAUCGAUGAGUUUUUGGACGAGGUCAUUGUCCUUCCCCCAGGCGAGUGGGAUCCCAACAUUCGAAUAGAACCCCCAAAGAAGGUCCCUUCUGCAGAAAAGAGAAAAUCUGUCUUCUCGCUAAGCGAUGCCGGGCAGAUGAAUGGCACAGCCGGUGGAGCUGGGGGAGGAGGAGCAGGAGGAGGAGGUGGUGGUGGUGGAGGAGGAGGUGGCAGCGAAGAUGAGGAGAUGCCAGCCGUACAUGAAAUUGGAGAGGAGCUCACGUGGACUGGAAGGUUUUGUGGUGGCCUGUAUCUCGAUGUCAAGCGGAAGCUGCCCUGGUUCCCCAGCGAUUUCUACGAGGGCUUUCAUAUCCAGUCCAUCUCGGCCAUCCUCUUCAUCUAUCUGGGCUGCAUCACAAACGCCAUCACCUUUGGCGGCCUGCUGGGUGAUGCGACGGACAACUACCAGGGGGUCAUGGAGAGCUUCCUCGGGACAGCCAUGGCAGGCUCCUUGUUUUGCCUCUUUGCCGGACAGCCUCUCAUCAUCCUGAGCAGUACAGGCCCGAUCCUGAUCUUUGAAAAGCUGCUGUACGAUUUCAGCAAAAAUAACGGCAUUGACUACAUGGAGUUCCGCCUCUGGAUUGGGUUGCAUUCUGCUUUACAGUGCCUUAUUCUGGUGGCGACUGACGCCAGCUUCAUUAUAAAGUACAUCACACGCUUCACGGAGGAGGGCUUCUCCACCCUGAUUAGCUUCAUCUUCAUCUACGAUGCCAUCAAGAAGAUGAUUGGAGCCUUCAAGUACUACCCCAUCAAUUCAGACUUCAAACCGGACUACGUGACGAUGUACAAAUGCGAAUGCCUCGCCCCCGACCCAGUGAAUACAACCUUGUUCAAUGCUUCAGUUCCACUGGCACCGAACAACACUAACAUUUCUCUGUACAAUCCUAUUAAUGUCACAGCUCUGGACUGGACCCAGCUGAGCAAGAAGGAGUGCCUCAAGUACGGAGGGACCCUGGUGGGCAAAUCCUGCAAAUUUGUCCCUGACUUGGCCCUCAUGUCUUUCAUUCUGUUCUUUGGGACUUACUCCAUGACUGUGACUCUGAAAAAGUUCAAAUUCAGCCGCUACUUCCCAACAAAGGUCAGGGCCCUGAUUGCUGAUUUUUCCAUUGUCUUCUCCAUCCUGUUCUUCUGUGGAAUCGAUGCCUGUUUCGGACUGGAUACUCCCAAGUUGCAUGUGCCCAGUAUUAUUAAGCCCACUCGCCUUGAUCGAGGCUGGUUUGUCUUCCCCUUUGGAAAGAAUCCCUGGUGGAUCUACUUGGCCAGCGCCCUCCCCGCUCUCUUGGUCACCAUCCUGAUCUUCAUGGACCAGCAGAUCACGGCCGUCAUUGUGAACAGAAAGGAGCACAAACUGCGGAAAAGUGCUGGCUACCACCUGGACUUGUUUUGGGUGGGCGUCCUCAUGGCCGUGUGCUCGUUCAUGGGGCUGCCGUGGUACGUAGCCGCCACGGUCAUUUCCAUCGCCCACAUUGACAGCUUGAAGAUGGAGACGGAGACCAGCGCUCCAGGAGAGCAGCCUCAGUUCCUGGGAGUCAGGGAGCAAAGAAUCACGGGGAUAAUUGUGUUUGUCCUGACUGGGAUUUCCGUCUUCCUGGCUCCAAUUCUGAAGUAUAUCCCAAUGCCAGUUCUGUACGGCGUCUUUCUUUACAUGGGUGUGGCCUCCCUCAAUGGCAUUCAGUUUUGGGACCGCUGCAAGCUCUUUCUGAUGCCAGCCAAGCACCAGCCCGAUUAUGUCUACCUCCGGCACGUCCCCCUGCGGCGGAUCCACUUGUUCACCCUGGUCCAGAUCGUCUGCCUGGCGGUACUCUGGAUCCUGAAGUCCACAGUGGCGGCCAUCAUUUUCCCUGUGAUGAUUUUAGCCUUGAUUUUAGUCCGGAAGCUGCUGGACUUUGUCUUUUCCCAACAUGAUCUAGCGUGGAUUGACAACAUCAUCCCUGAAAAGGACAAGAAGAAGGAGGAGGACAAGAAGAAGAAGAAGCGGAAGAAAGGCACCAAGGGGGAGGAAGACAGCAGUGACGAGCCCACGUUCCCAACUCCCUCUGUCAUACCAAUCCCCAUGGAACUUCUCCCAUCUGAACCCCAAAACAGUGCCCGUUGCCUUGCCAGGGGUCUCUGCUUCCUUCCAGGAAAGAGGUCCGCCAGCUGGAGCGUUGCAUUCUGAUUCCUCACCUAACGGUUCAGAUCUGGAUCGCAGGCGCUAAGGCGGAUGAUGGUGAUUGGCUGCCCUCAACACAUGACUGUGCAAGACUGGAGGCAGGCAAAUGUUGAUCCCCAUCCUCAGAAAGGGCGAGAAAGAAGAUUCAGACAACUACCAACCACAUUACCCUUCACCUCAAGAUUUCCUGCCCGUCCUCUCCUGCUUUCAAUUACUCCCGGAACCCCAUCUGUGCUGUGCCCCAGGUGAAGAUCGAGAUGGAAUCCGACUACGAAGACACCGACACGGAGAAACACCCUCGGGACAUGGGCAGCGAGACCACCCUAUAGUACCCCCCCGUACCCCCCCUCCGGUGGCCCUUCUCGUUUUAUCUAGUGGCGUUUCUCUCUCUUUCUCUUUCUGUGACAGACUGAGGGCAGGAUUGCUCGGCCCAGAGCCCAGCUCUGCCCCUAGAACAAAAAUUAGCAUUGGGGGAAAAAAGACCAUUUCUGGACAUUCUAGCUUGCCAGGUGCCAUGGCACACACCUCCACUCUGAAGAGCCACCCAAAGGGCCUCUCAGGACCACAGCUUCCCUGGGAACAAAGGGGCGUUGGAGAGCACGGGUGACAUCAAUGUUGGACGCACGCCGAUUAAGCCAUAGCAAGGCUGAGGGGAGAACAGAAGAGAUGGGAACCUUACACCUGGGAAAUCUCCCAAGAACACCUUCAGACGGUACCCACUUUCCUGCAGCACGAGAGGCCCCGCCUGUCCAACCCCAAUGUCAGACUGAAGGCACCGCGCCGGAAAAGCACCCAUCGCUCUCUCCUCGGCACACAAGAGCUGCGCUUGCUUCUCAUCGGUCCUGGAGGCAGCAUGCAGACGGGCACCGUCCCCCUCGGCACCCACUCUAGAAUUCCUCGUUAGGCUUUUACUAUCAGAGCUUGGCAAAGAAGUUGGCAUCCACAGCCAGGGCCGGCCAACACCAGCUUGGUUAUGGCAUCCGUGGAUCGGUGCUGGAGAAAAGAGAACCCGAGUCUUGGGGGCGGCUUCACCGGCCACCCUGCGGCGGUUGGGCUUUUAUCCCCACUUGAACAGUUCUCUAUAUUGGCCUUUUCAACUUUUUAAACCCCCUUCUCCUCCCCCCCCCAUCCUCAAGCAUUUGAACGUUGUCUCUGCAAACCACCUUUUCUUUGCCGGCACAGCGCUUGCGUACAGAACCUUUCGGCCUGCGAAACGUUGCGCCUGGUUUACACCUUGCGCCUGAAGCCGACACUGGCUCCUUGUAACUUUGUAAAUACUGAGAUGAAGCUGCAAGAAGAAGAAAAAAGAAAAGGAAAACUUGAAUCUGUUCUCCUAUUUAUCACAUUAUUUGGACCGGGUCCUUGUUAAUUGUUGAAUGCAAAGAAAUUAACUACAACAGUUUUAGGGCUCGGGCAAUAACCACUGACUCGUUGUUGUAAUCACAAUUUGGAUUGGAGCAUGUGCUUUGUAUACUUUCCUCGCUUAUUUUGUAGCAGAAUCAUUGGCGGGAAUCGCCACAGGUGACCACAUUUAGUAGGUCACGUAGUCCACGUAGUCUGUUUGAUAAUACUGUAUAGGAAUGAAUAGGUAAGCGAUGCGAAUCACCAGGGCGGGGAGGAGCCCCCGUGUCAUCCGUUGGGGGGGCCUGCUCUUUUUAUAGACACAUGGGAAUGGCAGAAGGCAGGCCACUGACCUGCAGCAGGAUCAUGCACGACCGAUUUCAGGUCCACAGCCCUCCUACUCCACUGUAUAGUAAGAAUGGAUAUCCUAAAACAGUAUAAUAAAUGGUUGAACCCC